GGAUGAACGCUGGCGGCGUGCCUAACACAUGCAAGUCGAACGGAGAUUACGGACGGAAGUUUUCGGAUGGAAGACUGUAAUUCUUAGUGGCGGACGGGUGAGUAACGCGUGGGCAACCUGCCCUAUACAGGGGGAUAGCAGCUGGAAACGGCUGGUAAGACCGCAUAAGUCGGCGAGACCGCAUGGUUUUGCCGGGAAAUGAGCAAUCAGGUAUAGGAUGGGCCCGCGUCCGAUUAGCCAGUUGGCAGGGUAAAAGCCUACCAAAGCAACGAUCGGUGGCCGGACUGAGAGGUCGGACGGCCACAUUGGGACUGAGACACGGCCCAAACUCCUACGGGAGGCAGCAGUGGGGGAUAUUGCACAAUGGAGGAAACUCUGAUGCAGCGACGCCGCGUGAGUGAAGAAGUAUUUCGGUAUGUAAAGCUCUAUCAGCAGGGAAGAUGAUGACGGUACCUGACUAAGAAGCCCCGGCUAACUACGUG
rnacentral:rRNA from 1 species